CCUACGGGUGGCAGCAGUGAGGAAUAUUGGUCAAUGGGCGGAAGCCUGAACCAGCCAAGUCGCGUGAGGGAUUAAGGCCCUGCGGGUCGUAAACCUCUUUUGCCGGGGAGCAGUGGUCCGGACGCGUCCGGACCGGGAGAGUACCCGGAGACAAAGCAUCGGCUAACUCCGUGCCAGCAGCCGCGGUAAUACGGAGGAUGCGAGCGUUAUCCGGAUUUAUUGGGUUUAAAGGGUGCGUAGGCGGGCAUUUAAGCCGGCGGUCAAAUGUCGGGGCUCAACCCCGUCGAGCCGUUGAAACUGGCAGACUUGAGUUGGCGAGAAGGACGCGGAAUGCGCGGUGUAGCGGGGAAAUGCAUAGAUAUCGCGCAGAACUCCGAUGGCGAAGGCAGCGUACCGGCGCCAGACUGACGCUGAGGCACGAAAGCGUGGGGAUCGAACAGGUUUAGAUACCCGUGUAGUC
rnacentral:rRNA from 1 species